UGCAGUCGAACGAUGAUCCGGUGCUUGCAUCGGGGAUUAGUGGCGAACGGGUGAGUAACACGUGAGUAACCUGCCCUUGACUCUGGGAUAAGCCUGGGAAACUGGGUCUAAUACCGGAUAUGACUCCUCAUCGCAUGGUGGGGGGUGGAAAGCUUUUUGUGGUUUUGGAUGGACUCGCGGCCUAUCAGCUUGUUGGUGAGGUAAUGGCUUACCAAGGCGACGACGGGUAGCCGGCCUGAGAGGGUGACCGGCCACACUGGGACUGAGACACGGCCCAGACUCCUACGGGAGGCAGCAGUGGGGAAUAUUGCACAAUGGGCGAAAGCCUGAUGCAGCGACGCCGCGUGAGGGAUGACGGCCUUCGGGUUGUAAACCUCUUUCAGUAGGGAAGAAGCGAAAGKGACGGUACCUGCAGAAGAAGCGCCGGCUAACUACGUGCCAGCAGCCGCGGUAAUACGUAGGGCGCAAGCGUUAUCCGGAAUUAUUGGGCGUAAAGAGCUCGUAGGCGGUUUGUCGCGUCUGCCGUGAAAGUCCGGGGCUCAACUCCGGAUCUGCGGUGGGUACGGGCAGACUAGAGUGAUGUAGGGGAGACUGGAAUUCCUGGUGUAGCGGUGAAAUGCGCAGAUAUCAGGAGGAACACCGAUGGCGAAGGCAGGUCUCUGGGCAUUAACUGACGCUGAGGAGCGAAAGCAUGGGGAGCGAACAGGAUUAGAUACCCUGGUAGUCCAUGCCGUAAACGUUGGGCACUAGGUGUGGGGGACAUUCCACGUUUUUCCGCGCCGUAGCUAACGCAUUAAGUGCCCCGCCUGGGGAGUACGGCCGCAAGGCUAAAACUCAAAGGAAUUGACGGGGGCCCGCACAAGCGGCGGAGCAUGCGGAUUAAUUCGAUGCAACGCGAAGAACCUUACCAAGGCUUGACAUGGACUGGAAAUACCUGGAAACAGGUGCCCCGCUUGCGGUCGGUUCACAGGUGGUGCAUGGUUGUCGUCAGCUCGUGUCGUGAGAUGUUGGGUUAAGUCCCGCAACGAGCGCAACCCUCGUUCUAUGUUGCCAGCGCGUAAUGGCGGGGACUCAUAGGAGACUGCCGGGGUCAACUCGGAGGAAGGUGGGGACGACGUCAAAUCAUCAUGCCCCUUAUGUCUUGGGCUUCACGCAUGCUACAAUGGCCGGUACAAAGGGUUGCGAUACUGUGAG
rnacentral:rRNA from 1 species